AUUGAACGCUGGCGGCAUGCUUUACACAUGCAAGUCGAACGGCAGCGGGGAGGAGCUUGCUUCUCUGCCGGCGAGUGGCGAACGGGUGAGUAAUACAUCGGAACGUGUCGAGAAGAGGGGGAUAACCACCCGAAAGGGUGGCUAAUACCGCAUAAAUUCUGAGGAAGAAAGCUGGGGACCUAGGAAUAGGCCUAGCGCUUUUUGAGCGGCCGAUGUCGGAUUAGCUAGUUGGGGAGGUAAAGGCUCACCAAGGCGAAGAUCUGUAGCGGGUCUGAGAGGAUGAUCCGCCACACUGGGACUGAGACACGGCCCAGACUCCUACGGGAGGCAGCAGUGGGGAAUUUUGGACAAUGGGGGCAACCCUGAUCCAGCCAUGCCGCGUGUAUGAAGAAGGCCUUAGGGUUGUAAAGUACUUUUGUUAGGGAAGAAAAGUCAGCUGUGAAUAAUGGCUGAUACUGACGGUACCUAAAGAAUAAGCACCGGCUAACUACGUG
rnacentral:rRNA from 1 species